AAACACUUCCGAUGUACAAACAGAGGUCGAUGAGAUGAUCAGGCUGCUCUUCUUCGGCUUUUCGGCUAAACAGGAAAGCUAUGUUUAAGUGUCAGCAAGUCGAUUUUCUUAGACUUCUUGUACAUAAUUAAGGACCAUCUAAAAACAUUUAGCGCCACCCAUGCUUCAGUAAGAAACUAUAUUCAUGGAAUUGUUCUACUUACUUUUUUCUAUACAAAACGUAGGUACCUAUCUUAAGUUUCUGUACCUACUUAAUUUUUGUUAUAAACAGACUUUCGAGUCGAAAUUUUCUACUUGAUCUAUUUAAGAUCGAUCUGUACCUAUUUUAUGCUACAAUAUUUUGCAUGAAAUCUACUUAUUCUUACUUAUAUUAUGCGAAGAUCCAAUAUUAUUUUUAAGAUAAUGAAUUGUACUUUUGGUUGGUAAAAUAUAUAGAUUCGUAAAUAUCGACUAUUAGGUACGUACUUAUUAUCAUAGAUUUCUUUGUGCUGCUUUGUAAAUACCGCUAGAAUCAUAUACGUAUUUUACCAGUAUUAUUGCUAAAUGUAUGUACAUAAUUCAACACAAGACUCGUUUAUUUCAACUUUUAAUAAUUUUACUGUUGACUGUACAUAACAUAAUAUUAUACCCACUCACAAUCAGAGGCCAUACUUUAUGAAAUUACUAUACUAGUCCUCGGUAUAUUGUAGUAUUUAAGUAGAGUAGCCUAAAAUGUAUAGGUUGCUUUUAGCGAGAAUGGGGAAGGCCGGCAAAAACUGAAAAUUACGUACAUUUUUUAUAUGGAAUUCACGAUUUUUUUCCCCAUUCAUUUAUUUCACAGGGAUGAUAAUUACAGAUUAUGUUUUUUAAUGUUUCUUAAAAAGUUUGUGCAUCAUCGCGCGGCCUGUGUGGCCAAACUUUUAUAGUGUCGUAUAGAGUCCGUCCAACCUAACUUUGCACCGAUUUGAAUAAAACAAAGUGAGGGAUGUCAUUAUAAACGUCAUAUUUUCAUAGAAAUUUGACAUUGACACACUUUGUCAUUGCAAAUGCCAUGCAGAGUUAGUUUGGUUCGGUUAUAUCUCAUGUAGUUUUGUAUCAUUUAAGGUUUAUUGUAAAGAAACAUAAGUGCUUCUAUACAUAUUAUAAUUUAUAUUACCUUGAAACCACCUAUGCCUACGAAUAUAUGACGUAGACAUUAUAUAUCGUAGUCUAUGAUAUUGUUUAGACUAUAUUGUAAGUAUAGUCUUUGAUAUCGUCAACACGGUCGCGAGAGCAAGUUUAAGCUGUGGUGUUCCCACACUGUUAUCUUUAUUCAAAUAAAAUAUAUUAUGCA